rnacentral:lncRNA from 1 species
UAGACAUUUCUCUGUAUAUAUGCCCAGGAGUGGGACUGCUGGAUCACAUGGUAUUUCUGUUUUUAGUUCUUGAGGAACGUCCAUACUGUUUUCCAUAGUGGUUGCACCAAUUUACUUUCCCAGCAACAGUGUGGGAGGGUUCCCUUUUCUCCACACCCUCUCCAGCCUUUACUUGCAGUCUUUUUAAUGAUGGCCAUUCUGACUGGUGUGUGGUCAUACCUCAUUUUUUCUUUGCAUUUGUUUCUUACCUACAAAGGAGCAGACAGAGGGCACUGACCUCCGUUUUCUAACCCACCCAGAGGGGAGGGGACCCUCCCACGCAGCCAGACUCUGUUCAUCUCUUGGAGUGCACCCCCACUCCCGUCCCCAGCUUCUGUGUACUUUUUAUUCUCAACCCCAAACCUGAAAUUCUUCACAAGAGGACUCUCCUCGGGGCUCUGAAGCACUUUGCCCCAUGCUCAAGGGCAGCUGGCAGUACCUGGGAAUGCCUAGAAAAACGGAAGGAGAGAGAAGGUCCCGUCUCUCCCCACGCAGUUGCCGGCCCUGCCAGCAGCCAGCAGGCAGCACGGAGCUGAGCCUGCAGCAGAAGCGGCCGUCUCCCCUUCCGGGCUGACCUGCCUGCGACCCUCCCCAGAGACGUGACAUCCCUCCUGCCAUCAGCCCCUGCAAUGUGACUCACUGCCUCCGGCGCUGACACAGCCUGGUGACAAUUACAGGGUAAGAGCGAUUCCAAACCGUGGAGCUUUCAGACCGGGGCUGUUAUCCUUAUGUAACAUUUCUAUUUCCUUUUGUCCUCGGAGCCUCAGGACUUCGGCUCCUGAUCAGUCAUAGAGUGACUUCUGCUGAAGAGACUGGGGCAGGACAAAGGUUCUGGAUGUCUUUAUUCUCCUCCCUCUCAGCUCUCUUCAUUAAGCUAUCCCCUGUUCUCCACCCAACACCCCUGAGAUGGCUGAUUCCCUAUGACAAAUUGGGAACAAGGAGAGAGAGAGACAGCCACCUUGAUGGAGCCACUGCACAUGCUGCCUUUUUACAGAGACCUGCUCAGGGUCAUUACCCUGUAGGGAGAAGUGACACCUGCAGACCCUCUGCCCAGAACAAGCCUCCACUCCCCCUGCUUCUGAGAGCUGCUUGCGUUCCUGGCCACCGUUCUCAGCUUCGGUCACUCCAACAUCUUCUCUGACUCUGUUUCUCCUGCCUCCCUCUUUCCUUGUAAGGAUCCUUGUGAUGACGCUGGGCCACCUGGAAAAUCCCAGAUAAUCUCGCCAUCUCUAGAUCCUUCGAGUAAUCAUGUCUGCAAGGUCCCUCCUGCCGGAAACGACAGAGUCAGUUUCUGGGGAGAGGACCAUGGACAUCUCUGGCCCGUAUUCUGCCCGCCGCCGUGGAUUGCUGACCGCCCUCUUUGAAAAGUGGAGCUCAGACACUAGAAAAUCCUCCGAAAUCAGGAAAGGACAGGGUGACAGUCACCAGCGCAAACCUGUUCAUGUAUAUUGCAGUUCUCGCUCCUUCCGGUCAUAUGGUAACAUCGCACUUCCCGGCCCCCCUUGAAAACUUUCAUGCGAUUUGUUCUGGCCAUGCAAACAGGAGAAGAGAUUGUGGCACUUCAGGGUAACAGUCUUCCUGGCAGUGUGAGAUGCACCUGCUCUUUCCUUUCCCUCCACCAGGGCCGCUGGCGAAUGGUGGCCUUUCUAUCAGCCUGAGUCCCAGAGUAAGGCAGACGCCGAGAUGUCCCAUGAUGGACACACAACAUUAAUAAGAAAUAAAGUUUGUCGUUUUAAGUUACUAAGAUGUGGG